rnacentral:rRNA from 1 species
GACGAACGCUGGCGGCGUGCUUAACACAUGCAAGUCGAGCGGAAAGGCCCUGCUUUUGUGGGGUGCUCGAGUGGCGAACGGGUGAGUAACACGUGAGUAACCUGCCCUUGACUUUGGGAUAACUUCAGGAAACUGGGGCUAAUACCGGAUAGGAGCUCCUGCUGCAUGGUGGGGGUUGGAAAGUUUCGGCGGUUGGGGAUGGACUCGCGGCUUAUCAGCUUGUUGGUGGGGUAGUGGCUUACCAAGGCUUUGACGGGUAGCCGGCCUGAGAGGGUGACCGGCGACAUUGGGACUGAGAUACGGACCAGACUCCUACGGGAGGCAGCAGUGGGGAAUAUUGCACAAUGGGCGGAAGCCUGAUGCAGAAACGCCGCGUGCGGGAUGACGGCCUUCGGGUUGUAAACCGCUUUAGCCUGUGACGAAGCGUGAGUGACGGUAAUGGGUAAAGAAGCACCGGCUAACUACGUG